AACGCGAAGAACCUUACCUGGUCUUGACAUGUACGGAAUCCUCCAGAGACGGAGGAGUGCCUUCGGGAGCCGUAACACAGGUGCUGCAUGGCUGUCGUCAGCUCGUGUCGUGAGAUGUUGGGUUAAGUCCCGCAACGAGCGCAACCCUUGUCAUUAGUUGCCAUCAUUUAGUUGGGCACUCUAACGAGACUGCCGGUGACAAGCCGGAGGAAGGUGGGGAUGACGUCAAGUCCUCAUGGCCCUUAUGACCAGGGCUUCACACGUCAUACAAUGGUCGGUACAGAGGGUAGCCAAGCCGCGAGGUGGAGCCAAUCUCACAAAACCGAUGUAGUCCGGAUUGCACUCUGCAACUCGAGUGCAUGAAGUCGGAAUCGCUAGUAAUCGCAGUCAGCAUGC
rnacentral:rRNA from 1 species